UGUGUCAGUGUGUGUGUCUGAGUGUUAUUUAUUUCGAGGUCUUCCACUCGAACUCCAUGAGGUGCUGGAGGAAGGUGGUGCCGUGUGUGUGUGUGUGUCUGAGUGUUAUUUCGAGGUCUUCCACUCGAACUCCAGGAGGUGCUGGAGGAAGGUGGUGACGUGCGGGUUGACGGCGGCGGCCUUCCGCUGCACGAUGGUGC